rnacentral:rRNA from 1 species
GACGAACGCUGGCGGCGUGCUUAACACAUGCAAGUCGAACGGAAAGGCCCUGCUUUUGUUGGGUGCUCGAUUGGCGAACGCGUGAGUAACACGUGUGUAUCCUGCCCUUGACUUUGGGAUAACUUCAGGAAACUGGGGCUAAUACCGGAUAUGAGCUCCUGCUGCAUGGUGGGGGUUGGAAAGUUUCGGCGGUUGGGGAUGGACUCGCGGCUUAUCAGCUUGUUGGUGGGGUAGUUGCUUACCAAGGGUUUGACGGGUAGCCGGCCUGAGAGGGUGACCGGCGACAUUGGGACUGAGAUACGGCCCAGACUCCUACGGGAGGCAGCAGUGGGGAAUAUUGCACAAUGGGCGGAAGCCUGAUGCAGCAACGCCGCGUGCGGGAUGACGGCCUUCGGGUUGUAAACCGCUUUCGCCUGUGACGAAGAGUGAGUGACGGUAAUGGGUAAAGAAGCACCGGCUAACUACGUG